rnacentral:lncRNA from 1 species
CCAGGUUCAUCUUCUUUGUAAACAAUUUAUACUCUAAUACAUCGUUUCGACCUCCGAUAAACCAUCAAAUCUUAAACUAAGGUUGCAUCGGUUGGCUCUUAGUUGUGAAUUAUGAGUUCCGUUGUGAAAUCAGAGGAGGAAUGGAGUGCAGUUCUUUCUCCUGAACAAUUUCGCAUCCUUCGAAACAAAGGAACCGAGUGAUAUCAAAUAAGAGAAUGUGUUUGUUGCUUUUUGGAAUUGGCUUUAUCUUGCUAACUUUGCAUCCUUUGAACCAACAUGGCAACAUACAUCCCUCAUGAUCCAUCUGAUUUUUUUUCUUUGAUACCAAAGGAAUGAGAUGCAAUUAUCUUGCACACGAGUAAAUUUGUAUUUCUUAAAUGUUGUUGCUUCUUUAAGUUAAUUUUAUUAAUUUUGUAUUUGCCUUA